rnacentral:lncRNA from 1 species
UAGAGAGAUCACUGCAGAGCUUCCCCCUUGCCAAGGCUGCCGUUGCUCUUGGGACCAGCUGAAUACAACGGGCACCCCACCCCAGCGCUGGUGAUCAGGGACCCUUUGAACAUGGCAGUGCUGGCUCUGUCUUGUUCUGAAGGCUUUUGAGCCUUACCCGCCUGCUGCACAAACCGCUGUAGCUCCUGAUGUCGAGGAGUGGGGGGUGGGGGGAAGGUGUGAGCCUGUCAAUCGCCUUGAGGCUCAGUCGGGCUUAUCUCUGCUUCUGCCUCCCUGUGUGCUCAUCCCCACACCAGCUAGAGAGCUCUUUUUACUUCCCUGUGGGUCUGACUCUGGGACAAACUGGUUGUCUGCUUUUAUUUUCCCAGGAGAAAGGAGGGGUGGGGACCCUUUGCAUUUGGGCACCUGUGGCAAGACAGUGCCAGAGGCCAAUCAACAAAAUCCAAGUUAAUCCUCCUGGUUCCAGAGUCCUCUACAGAGCCUGUGGGAUAAAGUUGAGCUGGAGGCCUCUGAGCAGAUCUUCAGCUGAUUCUUCCUCAUCACCAGCAACAGAAGAGCCCUGGAAUUCUGGCCAAGCUGGUGGACGACGGAGCUGAGCAAGGCAGUACCCCAGCCAUCAUGAGCCUGGGAGAACCAGAGGGGAAGAGAAAGGGCUAAGUCUGAGAGGAAGCAAGAACCCUUGGAUUCUUGGAGAUACCUGGUCGAGGCAGAUUAUGAGUUCACUGUCAUCUCCAAGCCAAAGGGAGCCAACCUUGGAAGCUCCCUGCUCUGACCUUUUGCUGGCUGAAGGCCGAAUGCUAAGACUGACCUCAAGAUGAGGCAGCAGUCUGUAUGCUGAUCUCUGCUCCAGUGUCAAUGCACAGGCCUCUCCAGGAAUGAGAGUCUACAUUUACAACUUGAUGACACCUGACGCCUAGAGAGCAAAGCUCAAGGUUAUCAUGUGGCAUCAUGGACAAGCUGCAAUGCCAGUUCUCCCUGGUUGACUACAGUGGCUCCAUGUUCUUCCUGGUCAUCUCUGUGUUGAGCUCUACUUACAACAUUCCCCAGUUCCAGCCCCAGGAAGGAAACAGUUUUCUAUGUGGCUAAUAUGGGCUCCCUACCUCUCUGUCAUCAGACAGAAUUGAGUCCACCAGAACUGCAGUGGAGAAUAAAAGAAAGAAAGAGGGCCAGCAAGAUCCCUUAGCAG